UUUUUUUAACGCUCAUUUAUUAUGAUCUUACAAUUAUGAUAUAGGAAAGAUUACAUAGACGAUUCGACAACUGACAAUUAUGAUAACCAUUUUUAUAAAUACUUUAAAUUUGUGAUAAAAAAUACUAAAAUAAUCUUUUCAAAUUAUUUAUAAAUGCUUAAAAAUUAUUUAUAAAAAUUUAUAAAUCCAACCAAUAAACUUAAAUUUAUAAAUCCAACCCUAAACAAUAAUCCACGAAUCUUAAAUGUCGAUAUUAUAAUAUUUUUGAUUGAAUGUAUUUUU
rnacentral:lncRNA from 1 species